CCUACGGGAGGCAGCAGUGGGGAAUAUUGCACAAUGGGGGAAACCCUGAUGCAGCGACGCCGCGUGAGUGAAGAAGUAAUUCGUUACGUAAAGCUCUAUCAGCAGGGAAGAAAUACUGACCUUACGGUCAGCAGACGGUACCUGAGUAAGAAGCCCCGGCUACCUACGUGCCAGCAGCCGCGGUAAUACGUAGGGGGCAAGCGUUAUCCGGAUUUACUGGGGGGAAAGGGAGCGUAGACGGUGAGCCAAGUCUGGAGUGAAAGGCCGGAGCUUAACUGCGGAACUGCUUUGGAAACUGGGGAACUAGAGUGCGGGAGGGGUAGGCGGAAUUCCUGGUGUAGCGGUGAAAUGCGUAGAUAUUAGGAGGAACACCGGUGGCGAAGGCGGCUUACUGGACCGUAACUGACGUUGAGGCUCGAAAGCGUGGGGAGCAAACAGGAUUAGAUACCCUUGUAGUC
rnacentral:rRNA from 1 species